GGAACACUUACCCAGCAGUAGCACGUUCUUCCCCGCAGGGAGCUUGGAGCGCGAGCGGGUGGAGACCUCGCUGAGGAUGCAGGACCUAACGGGAAGCAAGGCGUACGGUGAGGCCGGAGGCCGGAGCCGCAGCGCGGGAGGGACGGACCCGGCCUCGGCGCGCCGGGGAUGGGGCUGCCGGGAACGCAGUGGCCGGGCCCGGCGCCGAGCUCCAGCGGGCACGGGAUCCCGAGGCGUCCGCGCAAGGCCGGGGGAGCCAGCGGGGGCUGAGGGAGAGGUGGAGUCGUUACCAAAGGUUCUGCCCGUCCUCGUCGUCGCCUGCCGCGGCGCCACCGUUGCCCGACGCUAUCUCGUUGCCCAAGGGGCCGCCAGUGUAAGUCGAGGAUAAUCCCGGCGGAGAAGAACCGAAGGAGCCGACUCGCCCCACGGCCGCCAUCUUGGUCGGGAAUCACACCACUCCCGGCAAGACUAAAUGUGCGAGGCGGCUGAGGCGGUGGCGGUGGAGGCGGCGGGAACCCGGAUAUGGGGCGUUCAGCGCACGGGAGCGGGGCGGGGCCUGCGGGGGCGGGGCCCCGGGCCGGGCCAGGACUGAUGGAGCGAGCGAGAACGGACUGCGCGUGCGUGGCUGCCUGGCCGGCGCUGAGGGGCUGAGCGUACGCGGGCGGCGGGGUGGGCCGCUAUGCUGCAACUGAAGCCCAGUGAUCUGACAGUAUGGAAGUGCUUUCCUUCCGCUCAUCCGCGGCCCUGGGCUGCGGCAGGGGGGUUGGGUGUGUCAGGUGAAAAGUGCUCCCUCCCACCCUUCAGACAGGUCCCCAAACCCUGCGGCCUGCGCGGAAUUCCUGCAUUGUCAUUGCCGGCCCACCCACUGUUCAGGCUGAGAGCGGUCCCCCGCCCAAACCGGCGCUUCGCCGGCGCCAAGAUAGAAAUGGGUCGCCCGGCUGGUAAAGAGGCUGCCCUGCAACCCUGGGCUGGAGUAUUGCUGUGGUCCUGGAUUUCUGGACUUUAUUUGCGUUCUCAAGUGGCGAAGUGUUCCUCAACCUGGACCCACAUCAGAAGCAGGUUCUCCGAGCCCCUAAGCAGCGGCGUGACAAAGGAUUUUUAUCAAGUGGACCCUCACAGAACAUC
rnacentral:lncRNA from 1 species